rnacentral:rRNA from 1 species
GGCCUAACACAUGCAAGUCGAACGGAUCCUUCGGGAUUAGUGGCGGACGGGUGAGUAACACGUGGGAACGUACCUUUUGGCUCGGGAUAGCUUCUGGAAACGGAAAUUAAUACCGAAUGUGCCCUUAGGGGGAAAGAUUUAUCGCCAUUAGAGCGGCCCGCGUCUGAUUAGCUAGUUGGUGGGGUAAAGGCUCACCAAGGCUACGAUCAGUAGCUGGUCUGAGAGGAUGAUCAGCCACAUUGGGACUGAGACACGGCCCAAACUCCUACGGGAGGCAGCAGUGGGGAAUCUUGCGCAAUGGGGGAAACCCUGACGAAGCGACGCCGCGUGAAGGACGAAGGCCUUCGGGUUGUAAACUUC